ensembl:piRNA 21ur-58 ncRNA
UGGUCGGAGAACUUAAUUUUG